GGAUGAGCUUGACGUUUCGCUCCCCCCACAGAGGAAAAAGCGGAAAAAGGAAAUUCUUCUGGAAAACAUGCUUUGACAAGUCUCAAGGGGGCGACAGUGAGGACGACUCUGAGUCCAGCUCUGAUUCGUCAGAGAGUUCUGAUUCAUCGCCGGACAGAAAGAGGAAGAUAAGGGGAAAGGGAAGAGAAAAAAGAGUGGGAAGAAGAGAACGAAUAAGAAAGAGAAAAAGGCGAAGAAAAGAAAACAUCGCUCUCACCAGCGGGUUGGAGGACCAGGUGAUGUGGUGAAGAGGUACAAGGAAGUCCUUGCCAUUUUCCAGACAGGGAAGAAUAUGGCCAAAUCCUUUGAGAAGUAUGGAGUAGACAGACUUACUAUUGUGAAGACUGCAGCGAUUGCCGAGCUCGCAAUACUGCUCCAGAAGAAUAUGAUCAGGUGGAGAAGCGCCGGACGGUGGCAGACUUUGCUAAAAGGUGCGAGGAGGUUAUAAAGGCUAACCAAGUCAUUUCUGCUACAAU
rnacentral:lncRNA from 1 species